GACGAACGCUGUCGGCGUGCUUAACACAUGCAAGUCGAACGGAAAGGCCCUGCUUUUGUGGGGUGCUCGAGUGGCGAACGGGUGAGUAACACGUGAGUAACCUGCCCUUGACUUUGGGAUAACUUCAGGAAACUGGGGCUAAUACCGGAUAGGAGCUCCUGCUGCAUGGUGGGGGUUGGAAAGUUUCGGCGGUUGGGGAUGGACUCGCGGCUUAUCGGCUUGUUGGUGGGGUAGUGGCUUACCAAGGCUUUGACGGGUAGCCGGCCUGAGAGGGUGACCGGCCACAUUGGGACUGAGAUACGGCCCAGACUCCUACGGGAGGCAGCAGUGGGGAAUAUUGCACAAUGGGCGGAAGCCUGAUGCAGCAACGCCGCGUGCGGGAUGACGGCCUUCGGGUUGUAAACCGCUUUCGCCUGUGACGAAGCGUGAGUGACGGUAAUGGGUAAAGAAGCACCGGCUAACUACGUGCCAGCAGCCGCGGUGAUACGUAGGGUGCGAGCGUUGUCCGGAUUUAUUGGGCGUAAAGGGCUCGUAGGUGGUUGAUCGCGUCGGAAGUGUAAUCUUGGGGCUUAACCCUGAGCGUGCUUUCGAUACGGGUUGACUUGAGGAAGGUAGGGGAGAAUGGAAUUCCUGGUGGAGCGGUGGAAUGCGCAGAUAUCAGGAGGGACACCAGUGGCGAAGGCGGUUCUCUGGGCCUUUCCUGACGCUGAGGAGCGAAAGCGUGGGGAGCGAACAGGCUUAGAUACCCUGGUAGUCCACGCUGUAAACGGUGGGUACUAGGUGUGGGGUCCAUUCCACGGGUUCCGUGCCGUAGCUAACGCUUUAAGUACCCCGCCUGGGGAGUACGGCCGCAAGGCUAAAACUCAAAGGAAUUGACGGGGCCCCGCACAAGCGGCGGAGCAUGCGGAUUAAUUCGAUGCAACGCGUAGAACCUUACCUGGGUUUGACAUGGAUCGGGAGUGCUCAGAGAUGGGUGUGCCUCUUUUGGGGUCGGUUCACAGGUGGUGCAUGCCUGUCGUCAGCUCGUGUCGUGAGAUGUUGGGUUAAGUCCCGCAACGAGCGCAACCCUUGUUCACUGUUGCCAGCACGUUAUGGUGGGGACUCAGUGGAGACCGCCGGGGUCAACUCGGAGGAAGGUGGGGAUGACGUCAAGUCAUCAUGCCCCUUAUGUCCAGGGCUUCACGCAUGCUACAAUGGCUGGUACAGAGAGUGGCGAGCCUGUGAGGGUGAGCGAAUCUCGGAAAGCCGGUCUCAGUUCGGAUUGGGGUCUGCAACUCGACCUCAUGAAGUCGGAGUCGCUAGUAAUCGCAGAUCAGCAACGCUGCGGUGAAUACGUUCCCGGG
rnacentral:rRNA from 1 species